UCCUCCUUAGCUCAGUCGGUAGAGCAUGCGGCUGUUAACCGCAGGGUCGUCUGUUCGAGCCAGACAGGAGGAGCCA
rnacentral:tRNA from 3 species